AAGGGGCGUGUGUGAUGCUAGUACUGUUAGAACCCUCAAAACCUCUCUUUUGUAAAAAUUUCUUUAAACAAGAAUCUCUUUAGAAGUUUUAUCAAGUUUCGAGAUAUCUUCAACAAUAUUAUGCUAUAUACAAAAUACCGGAAAGUUUGUUGCAUCCUUGGAUCCAAGUUGAAGCGGGUUGACUCAGAUGGUUGCGGGCGAUUUUUUUGAAUCUCUGAGUCGACUCAGGUCGAGUCGAACGAGUAUGAAAGAGUCAUCGUUGAUUCCUACAUCUCUGAUGAGUAGCAAACCGGUCGCGGAACUUGGGAUGAAGGGUUCCUUUUAGUGGAAGAAGGAAAUCCAGCUUUUUGGAAGUUCCAUUUACCUUUCAAGAACUUUUUGCACAAGACCAAGCCUAAAUGGUUUCCCCCUACCAUGCAUCUUGAACAGAAUCUAUUCUUCUAUACAUGUGCAUAUGGAAAUAAAUCAAUAAUUGAAGACAAAUUGAGUUAUUUCUUGGAAAAGAAUUGCAGAUGCUAAAACUAUUGAAUAAAUCUUAUGCACUGACACUAUAUAUACUAUUAUCGUUAAAUUCAUAACACAUGUAUAAAAAGAGUAAAUUUUAUAUACACUAUCAAUGUAUACACUAUUAUAGUUGGAUGGAUGAUAUAUAAGCAAACUUUGAGUUUCAAAUUCCAA